UGCUGCUGCUCGCGGCCACAGGAGAGAUGGGAGGCCCGGUGGCGGUGGCGGAAGCUCGGAAGUGCGAGUCGCUGAGCCACAGGUUCGCGGGCCUCUGCCUGCGCGGCCACAACUGCGCCAACGUCUGCCGGACCGAGGGCUUCCCCGGCGGCAAGUGCCGCGGCGCCAGCCGCCGCUGCUUCUGCACCACCCACUGCCGCUAG
rnacentral:rRNA from 1 species